UCUGUUCCUUUUGUGUCAUGCUUUGUUUUGUUUUUAGUUAAGAAAGGAAGAAAUAGCAGUGGAGAAAUCUGAUCUGCUUUUGACAGCAUGACCAAUGCUCUUUUUCCAUCCCAUCUGGAGCAGGAUUCAGUAACAGGCAAGGGCAAGUGGAGGAGUGAUUUCAUUAACUAAGUCUUGAUUUUGAGGUUUGCAUAUCUGCAGAUCUGUUUUUCCCUCGCUAGGUCUUGGGGAACUGCCAAAAUGGGCAAAAGAAGUGAUGAUAAUGGAUUGAAGCUGCCACAGGGCAAAUCUCUGGAAGGGAAAGAUAUCAUAAAUAGUUGCCAGGAGGAUACUGUCUGUGCCUUUGCCUUUCAAGUUGUAAGGUAACAGGGAAUCUAAUUUAGAAACUGUUAUUUGCACAAGAAGGUACUGAAUAAAGAGAAGGAGGAAGGAGACAAGAGGGAAGCAUAGGAAACAAAUGUGCCUCACAGAAAUACAACCAAGAUGUCUUUCAAAAUCCCACUUCCAAAGCAGACGGUCCAAGCCUGUGGAGGCCUUGCUGACGCCAUUACUGCCAGUGUUCGGAUAUUGGUUGGUAGUUCUCUGCCUUUUAUUCUCUCAGCCUGGUCUCAAGGAACACACUGUUCUCUUUUGCAACCUUUAGUAACAUGAUCUUAUGAAAUCCUUAGCUAUGUAUUUUUUUCUUUAUUUCUAGUUCAAUUAUAUCAGGACUGUUAGUUCUUAAAUUGGAAAACAGAGAAUCAAAAAACAAAAACAAAAAACGUUUCUCAAAAUGUCCUAUGGUACAGUCUUAAUCAAGUCACUCAAAUGUAAAAUGUGUCUAAAUCUCCUGCCUCCCAAGGCUCUUGUUAAGUUUCAAUUAAGAUGAUAAAUAGCGCACAUACGUAAAAGCUGUUGGAUAUACGUUAGCUCUUUUCUCUUCCUCUCUCCUAAUAAGAGAUCCCUAGAAUUUAUAGCAGAAAAUCCAGAUCAGUAAUGAGCAAUAUAUAGGCAUAUGUCCAUAAACUUAAGCUUCCUCAGGGAAAUUAUUCCAAUUAAGAUAAAAAUCAGUAUAAUAUCACAAUGCCUCAUUGGGGUAUUUCUGAGCAUCAGAAUCCCUUUAAGAAAAUAUUCCAAUGGAGAAGUAUUUUAAAUACACCAUGGUGUUAUGGAUACAGCUGGUGCUAGGCAACGUGAAGCAUGUAAGCAGUGAAGAUCUAUUUCACAGCUUCUUUCCUUAGCAGGAGAAGGGAUGACAUUUUGUCGGCCUCGCCUCCCUGGAGAUUAAAAACCAAGCACCAGAGGAAGGCCAGGCAGCUGACAAAUAGGCUCUUCCCCUGCUGAGGAAAGGAAAACACAAGGCCCAUGGAAAGCUUUCCUCUUCACAAGCUGGAUGUAAACGAUCCUGCAGAAGGCUCUGAAAUCUUAGAGUUGAUGGAAAGGAGCAGAAGGCCACCUGCUAAACACCCUCUUAGAACUAUUAUGGUUUCAAAUGAACAUCGUGACCAACCUGUAGAUGGAGAAGGAAGCCACUGAUCGAAUCAGGGAUGCCACAGCCCCCACUUUGGCAGCUUCCACUGACCCCUGGACUCGGUACUGCACUGUCUUCGAGUAGUUGACAUAAGGUUGAUUAUACACAACAAUCUUCCCUCUUGCUUCUGGGGCCCUUCUCUGCAGUUCCUUGAACGAGGUCACCACGAGAACUUCUGCUGUAAUGCCUAGAAAAAACAUCAUACAGGAUUAACUUAUGGUUUCCAAUCAGCCCUGUUGAAUUGGCACACAAAAGGUCAUACAGGCUCUACCUGCUACAUCUGGCAAACUGGUUUGAGAAGAUCAAAGUUUUAGAGCCAUUUGCCAUGGAAGAAAGACUGCAGAGGUUAGCUAGUCUCCCAAGAGAGAGAAAAGGCAUUC